rnacentral:piRNA from 1 species
AGAAGAUGGCCGCACUCUCUCUGAU